UACGAAGGGGGCUAGCGUUGUUCGGAAUCAUUGGGCGUAAAGGGCGCGUAGGCGGUCAGGUAAGUCAACUGUGAAAGCCCAGGGCUCAACCUUGGAAGUGCAGCUGAAACUACCUGACUAGAGUCUCGGAGAGGGUGGUGGAAUUCCCAGUGUAGAGGUGAAGUUCGUAGAUAUUGGGAGGAACACCAGUGGCGAGGCGAACCGCCUGGACGAAGACUGACGCUGAGGCGCGAAGAGCG
rnacentral:rRNA from 1 species